GGGCCAAGUUGAAGAAGCGCCAUUGCCCCAAUCUGUAAAAGGCGUUCAUGUGCUCCAGGUGUCGUUCUAAAGUGUCCAAGUAACGAAAAAUGAGUGGUAUUUCUUAAAUCGGGAGAGAAACUUGAAGUCAUCAGGACCUUUUUCUGUUUGCCUUAAAAUCGCCAUUUUGUCUGGUCUGGCGUGCCAUACCAGGAGCAUUCGUUUCGGCCUAGUAGACCUAGUCUGCUACGUCUAACCCGUCAAGGAUCGUCGUAGGCCUCUGGUCAGAUUGGCCAUAAUCGUAAAGGAGGUCCACAGCUCGGGGUUGACACCCCUAAUCGUUAAAGAGCUCUUACCCCUCUCGGCACGGUCACUCCGGUACCGUCCUGGGCCGUGUCGAUUGCCGUCAAAGAGGGAAGACGCCUUACCGUCGGUCGAGGAACCGACCCCCUUCGACAAUCGCCAAAAUUGUCGUAGUAACGUACUCACCUGUCCGUCCAGCAAGUACCUCAGCGAGCGCUCGCAGGACUCCCAAGGAACGUCGGCAGCAGCAGGAAGCAGUAAGCCGUACCGGUACGUGAACAAAAAAAAACAUUAUACCUACCCACAACUACACAGUUUAUAAUAGUCCAAAUAGAUCCUCUAAAACCCUCAAUAGUUUAGCUUGCAACAAUAGACUAAAUCGCUCAAUAAAUCACUAGUUUUUCCUUCAAA